UACGUAGGGCGCGAGCGUUGUCCGGAAUUAUUGGGCGUAAAGAGCUCGUAGGCGGCUUGUCACGUCGGGUGUGAAAGACCGGGGCUUAACUCCGGUUCUGCAUUCGAUACGGGCUAGCUAGAGUGUGGUAGGGGAGAUCGGAAUUCCUGGUGUAGCGGUGAAAUGCGUAGAUAUCAGGAGGAACACCGGUGGCGAAGGCGGCUUUCUGGACAGAAACUGACGCUGAUGCGCGAAAGCUAGGGGAGCAAACAGG
rnacentral:rRNA from 1 species